GUUCGAAGCAUUGGCUCGAAGCAGAGUGUUUAGUGUUCAGUGGUGCGGGGAGAGAGAAGGCCUGGGAGAGACUAGUGCCGCUAUUCUCUCGCUGACAGUGUGUUGCGCCGAGUGUUCUAGUGACGUGUGUGAGAGAGACGGAUUAUCGCGUAGUGAAAAGCGAGUGGAAAGAGUGGUGAGUGACCUGACAUUGUGCCAAGUAAAGAAUGGUGAGGAAAAAAUUACUAACCAUUAUGUUAAAUAGGAGCAGCCGCCGCAGCAACUCAAGGUCAUCGUUGGCUAAAGUAGACGCCGCGCAGCCACCGCCCAAAAGCCUGUUACGUGGAAACCAACGGUGCCCGACGCUAUCUCGACCCUCGACAGACUCGGUUUUUCUACGCGUCACGUUCUAGGCGAUGAAGUGGGACGACCAUCCACGCCCUCGCCGCAGCCUGUAGGGAGCUUGAGGGGUUACUGCUGGCUGUGUGGCAGAGUGCUCGAGGAUCAAGUCUUGUGAUAUGGGCUGUUGUAAGGCUGCUCGAGCACUAUGAGGCCUGUACAAGAGUAGGAGAGAGUGAAGGGAGAAAUGGCGCCUGUAAAGUUAUGUAACAGCUGGUUUAAGGAAUACAUAAGUAAAUUAAUAAAUUAUUAAGUAUCAAUGAAGAUUUCUAUUACUAAUUUGUUUGUGAUUUUCAAUUUUCUUUAGAAAUGCGUUACUGUUACUGAAGGUGUACGUAUCUCCUUUCAUGAUUUACAUUUUCACGUAAUCUCAAAAUUCUCGUGCAGUGAUGGUGCACAGAAUUCUUUUCACUUGUUUUUUACGUUUUUUAUAUUUUCUUUUUUUCCGAAUUUCCCGAUCAUAUUUGG